UAUAAAGAAAGUAUAAGGUUUUACAUUUCAGUUACAUUGAAAAAAUCCUGAGGAUCAGGUCUUUAUAU
rnacentral:tRNA from 1 species